ensembl:lincRNA
CUUGGACCAGCUGGCAGUAGUGGGCAUGAUGUGCAGGGAUGGAUAACUGACCACGGAACUGGCUAGAGUCAAUAUGAUGCCAAAGAUUUAGGAAAUCACUCUGACCAACUUCCUGCCAAAUCUCACCAGAUACAACUGCAGCAGAAGAGGAAGCCCUGUCAUGGGCAUUGUUUUGAACCAGAUCUGACAGCCUACCUGGAGAGGAAGGAGGAAAAGGUGGGUAUUGGCAGUGGAGAGAUUAGAAGGCUUAAUAGCUUCUCUCCAUAUUUAACUUUUAUGAUUCUGCAAUCCUUGAAACAUUAAUAACCUAUUGGAUAACAUCUGAGAUCUCCACCCCCCAGCUCUAGGAAUCUUGAUAUUUAAAAGGGGCCUUUCAGGGAAUUGGCAAGCAAAUUUUUGUUCUUUUUUGUUUUUGUUUUUAUGACUUUGCACUCCUGCUUCUAUCAGACACAGUGAAAUGUUUUCCAUUGCAUAGACAAGUUUCCUCUCAUUGAUUGGAACCUUUUAUCUG